AACGAACGCUGGCGGCAUGCCUAACACAUGCAAGUCGAACGAGAUCUUCGGGUCUAGUGGCGCACGGGUGCGUAACGCGUGGGAAUCUGCCCUUUGGUUCGGAAUAACAGUUGGAAACGACUGCUAAUACCGGAUGAUGACGAAAGUCCAAAGAUUUAUCGCCAGAGGAUGAGCCCGCGUAGGAUUAGCCAGUUGGUGUGGUAAAGGCGCACCAAGGCGACGAUCCUUAGCUGGUCUGAGAGGAUGAUCAGCCACACUGGGACUGAGACACGGCCCAGACUCCUACGGGAGGCAGCAGUGGGGAAUAUUGGACAAUGGGCGAAAGCCUGAUCCAGCAAUGCCGCGUGAGUGAUGAAGGCCUUAGGGUUGUAAAGCUCUUUUACCCGGGAUGAUAAUGACAGUACCGGGAGAAUAAGCUCCGGCUAACUCCGUGCCAGCCGCCGCCGCGG
rnacentral:rRNA from 1 species